AAAAAAAACGUUCCCCCCCCAAAAAAGGAUCCACAAGUAUGUGACACAGAGCAAGAAAUGUUCAAGUUUUGAUGCAUGUCAGCUUCCUGCAAAGGUACUCAAUGUAGAGGAAGAGGUCGACAUGCAAUGGAAGAAGCCACCUACAGAGUUGAUAAGUCUCCUAGCCAGAAUCUGGAGUACCUGUUACAUCCCAAGGAAUUCCAAACACUGAGGCCACAUGAAUGGUUAUUUGGAGAGGAAUACAUAUCAAAACAAAAAUCUGAAUGCAUAAUUGUACAAUUAUAUUUGUAUUUGUAAAUGCUGUCCUCAAUAUAUUCAAGUAUUUUGAUUCAAAUUGACGUUUGAUUCAAAAUGCUGUAUUAUUUGUAGACUAUUGAGUGCUAUUUAAGAGCUGUACUUAAUAUGAAGGGUGCAAAUCUCUACCAGCAAAACCAUUACACCACAGGUGUCAUUUUAAAUAGCACAAGGGAGCAGAUGGCAUGGCAAAGAUUGCGAAAAGUCAACUUUGAGCAAUAUGAUGGGCUCAUCACUUUCGUAAAUAUCAACAACAUACACUAGAG